UACGAAGGGUGCAAGCGUUACUCGGAAUUACUGGGCGUAAAGGGCGCGUAGGCGGCCUGUUAAGUCGAACGUGAAAUCCCCGGGCUCAACCCGGGAACUGCGUCCGAAACUGGCAGGCUUGAAUUCGGGAGAGGGAUGCGGAAUUCCAGGUGUAGCGGUGAAAUGCGUAGAUAUCUGGAAGGAACAUCGGUGGCGAAGGCGGCAUCCUGGACCGAUAUUGACGCUGAGGCGCGAAAGCCAGGGGAGCAA
rnacentral:rRNA from 1 species